AAGUCGUAACAAGGUAACCGUAGGUGAACCUGCGGUUGGAUCAUUAACAAAAAAAUUGGAAGGUUAAGAAAGGGCGUUAAAACUCUUUUUUAACUUUUUAAACACCAAUUGUGAACUUGUAUUAUUGUUUCUUUUCUGGGUUCGAGUAGUGUUGUAUUUAAAGAGUUAAUUUUAUUAUGGACUCUUUGUUUUACCGCUGUUUGUCCAGAAAAAACCAUUUUUAAACAUUAGAUUAAUUAUUUUGACCAUUAAAUAAAAGUUUGAAAUUUUUUUUAAACAUUAAAUAAAUUAAAAAAACAACUUUUGGCAACGGAUCUCUAGGCUCUU
rnacentral:misc_RNA from 1 species